rnacentral:lncRNA from 1 species
CUUGGCGCACGUUCCUCUGAUGACCACCGGGUAGUGAGUCAGCACGUUAAUGGGAAGUGGGAAAGGAAGAGCAUGGGCGCAAACAGUUCUUCAAAGAAACUUGGAUGUGAAGGAAGGAGAUAACAGUAACCAGAAAAGUCAAGGAAGAGUCUUUUAAGAAGGCAAAGCCUGGGACGUGUUUAAAUGCGGACAGGGAAGAGCUGUGGGAACUUACUGGUUAAAGAAAGAGAAAGAACACUUGAUGGAGUCAGGACCUACAGACAAUGGAGGGUGCAGGUACACGAGGAACCGAGGCUGGAGAGAUGACAUCAGCUCCAUGAUGACUUUCGAGUAGCUGGUAAGAGUUGGGGAUUAUUUUGAACUUGGGUCUGACCCAAAGCUG